rnacentral:rRNA from 1 species
GGGGAAUUUUCCGCAAUGGGCGAAAGCCUGACGGAGCAAUCUCGCGUGAGGGAUGACUGCCUAUGGGUUGUAAACCUCUUUUUUCAGGGAGGAAUCAAUGACGUGUACCUGAAGAAUAAGCAUCGGCUAACUCCGUGCCAGCAGCCGCGGUAAGACGGAGGAUGCAAGUGUUAUCCGGAAUCACUGGGCGUAAAGCGUCCGUAGGUGGUUUAAUAAGUCAACUGUUAAAUCUUGAAGCUCAACUUCAAAAUCGGAGUCGAAACUAUUAGACUAGAGUAUAGUAGGGGUAAAGGGAAUUUCCAGUGGAGCGGUGAAAUGCGUAGAGAUUGGAAAGAACACCGAUGGCGAAGGCACUUUACUGGGCUAUUACUGACACUCAGAGACGAAAGCUAGGGUAGCAAAAGGGAUUAGAUACCCCUGUAGUC